CCGUGGCUCAGUCCCUAUCAAGGGACCUGCAUGUCAUAAGGGAGUAAAAUUUAGAUUACAGUAAUGAAGUUGCAACUUUUUCACAUCAUCAUUUCUGCUUUGUGGUUAAUAUUCCUUGUUAGGGCCAAGUUACUCAUCAAUAUGAAAUAAGCACUAGGAGUUUUGUUUUGUUGAUUUUAUAUAUCUGCUUUUGUGGAUGUAAGAUGUGAUUGCUAAAGUUAUCAGCUCCCUAACUUAUGUUGCUAGGGGAGUAAAUAGUUGCUCCAAAGUUUAAUCACCUCUUGAAGGAGCAUUUAUCAAGCUUCUUGAACCAUUUGAUUAGUGAUUUGUUCGAUAAUCUCGUAGAUGAUGGGUUUCUGUCUCACUUUUCCUUGGUUGUGAUUUUCUAGCCAUAAAGACUUCAGGAGUUUCCAAAGCUGUUGGCUGUUAAACUGGUUUUUGGUUCUAAGAGUCCAGUAAGCCACAGAAGAUGUCUGUUCAUACAAUAAAGCUGCACGGACUUGUUGGAGUAUCUUCUAACACAAUCAAGUCUAAGCUGCAACUUUUGAAGCAUAUCGCCGUAGUUAGUCGAGACUGCCAAGCAUAGUUGUUGGCUGCUGCUACUUGCUGCAAUUAUUUCAUCCGCUGUGAUGAAGGCUAUUAAGCUCAUUCUGCCACCUAUACUUGUUGGUUGCUCCUCUGUUCAUGAUCAGAUGAAAACAUCCAGGAUGGAAUUCUCUUUUGCUCUCUGCCUUGGAUGGCUAAAGCCUGAGAUCUUCCUUGUUGGCUUGUGAUUUUAAACUGUCCAACCAUUCAGCAAUUUGUAGACAUGUUAAUGAGGUGUUCUUUUACUUCUUUUGGAGCUCAAUUUGCCAUAUCUUCCGUACUGCUUGUAGUUCAAAGUAGCCAGUAUUUUGCAGCAGAAAGAUGUGGAUUAGCUGAACCCUGAUAGCUGCUUGCAUCCUUCUUGAAGUUGUAUCUUAGCUCUAUAACAGGCAACAUAUUUUUUCUCAA